ACGCUGGAGAUCGAAAACCAAACACACACUUUGGACUGCGUGAUCAAUGCAGGACAUUUAGCCUGAGCUGUGUAUUCACUAGGAACCAAACAGAAGUCAACGGGACCAAACCGGACCAAACUGGACCAAAGGGGAACAAACAGCAGUGUUUUAUAGUAAAUACGUAAUAUACAUUUUAAGUACUACUUUAGUACUUUUGUUUUUGGGUAUCUGUACUUUACUUUACUAUGUAACAUUUUUGACAACUUUUACUUUUAAAUCCACUACAAAUGUAUUUUUUUUUCCGUACAUUUUUCCCUGACACCUAAAAGUGUCAUUUACAUUUCGAACACUCGGGGAGGACAGAAUCAUGGCACCUGUCAGGAAAACACCUGGUCGUCCCUACGGCCUCUGAUCUGGCGGACUCACGAAACACAACUACUGUGUUCGUAAAUGAUGUCAGAGUGUUGGAGUGUGGCCCCUGUCAGUCCGUAGUUAAAAAUAUUACGAAAAUAAUGCCGUCUGGUUUACUUAAUAUCAGGAAUUUGAUGAAUAGCUUUUACUUUGUACUUUUACUCAAGUAUGACGAUUGAUUACUUUUUCUACCACUUUACCACUGUAGAUUUAAAGCCAAGUAGUAUUUUCUCAAGUAGUAUUUUACUGGUUGACUUUUACUUGAGUCAUUUUCUGUUAAGCUGUCUUUACUUUUACUCAAGUAUGACAAUCGAGUACUUUUUCCACCACUGCCAAACGGGACCAAACAGGACCAAACGGGGCCAAGUGGGACCAAACGGGGCCAAACGGGGCCAAACAGGGCCAAACGGGACCAAGUGGGACCAAACGGGGCCAAGUGGGACCAAACGGGCCCAAGUGGGACCAAACGGGACCAAACGGGGCCAAACGAGGCCAAACGAGGAGAGACCUACAUGACCUACAUUUGUCAAAUAAGAAAUUCUUGUUUUUGUUGCAAAAUGUUUUCAGUUGGGAAGCGUUUUGUUAUGAUUUUAUACAGUGUGCACUAUUGACUACACCCCAGGACUGCCCAGGUAGAAUUGGUUCAUACUCUUUCUGUUUAAAAGGAGGAAACACGUUGUUUUUGGACUUGUGUUGAAAGACUGCAGUUGGAUUUGGUCAUAGUUAUCAUUCUGCCAGUAAAAUGGCAACAAAGAACUGGUUGAGUAAGCAGGUAUUACCUCCGCAACCUGAUCAAUCAUUCACAAAACACUGUUCUGUUGUCCAUUAUCCAAGAGUUCCAACUAAGAUAUUGGUCUUCAGACAAACAAAGAUAUUAUUUUGUUUUAUUGGAGCAGCAGUAGACUCUGUUGGAAACCAAACCAAUGUAAACACCUGAGGAGCGCCCCCUUGUGGAGACAGCUUCAAACUACAUAUGAGCCCUUUACAAGGUGAAAGGUGGAUACCUCGUCAGUUCUACAACUGAAUGCAUUCAAUUGAAUUGUGUCUUCAGCAUUUAACACAACAGGGACUAAGGUGACAUUUCAGGUGUGUCAAUGAUCAAUAGACAGACAGCCAGACAGCCAGAGAGACCAACAUAGACACACACAGGUCAAUCCUGGUGCACAUUUUGUUUCGGCUCUACACUACACACCUGAUUUGAAAUCAAAGGCUUGAUGAAGAAAAGCAGGUGUUUAGCACCCAUUAGAGCCUGGUUCCUCUCUAGGUUUCUUCCUAGGUUCCUUCCUUUCUAGGGAGUUUUUCCCCCAUUAGAGCCUGGUUCCUCUCUAGGUUUCUUCCUAGGUUCCAGCCUUUCUAAGGAGUUUUUCCUAGCCACCGUUCUUCCACAUCUGCAUCUGCACUGGUUUCUGUAUAAGCACGUUGUGACAUCUGCUGAUGUAAAAAGGGCUUUGUAAAUACAUUUGAUUUGAUACAGUGCUCUACUUUUGAUCGGGGCCCAUGGUGCUCUGUAGAAGAACACUCAGGGAAAGGGCGCCAUCUUGAAAGCAGGCCACCGUUUAGUGUUCAGGCCUUCAUUAUUUAUUAUAGAUCACUUACUUAUAGAUUAUUGAUCACGUUUUACUGGAAACCGGAGAUUCUGACAAAGUUUUUCACACACACACACACACACACACACACACACACACACACACACACACACACACACACACACACACACACACACACACACACACACACACACACACACACACGUAACCGGUGUGAAAUGCUAGUUAGCGGUGUGCUCCAGUAGAGUUUCAAUCGGGGCCGUCACUCGCUCUGAGACCUUGAAUUUGUUGUUUCCUUUGCUCUCUCUGCGAAGGCCGUAGCUUUCGUGAAACGACAGGUAAACAUGCUUCGUGGAAGGCAGUUUAUGUGUUAAGAGGAUCCUCGGUUUAAUCUCAGAAUGGGGUGGCUAAUACUGGAGGCAACACUGUAAACUUCUAAUAUGCGAUUCAACAGUAUUUCAAUUCAAGGGGCUUUGUUGCCAUGGGACACCUAUGUUUACAUUACCAAAGCAAGGGGAAAUAGAUACUAAACAAAACAGAUAAUAAACAUUGAUAUCUUUGUCUUGUCUUUCACUCAUGUUGUACAUUUAUUGCCAUAAUAAAAUAACGUGUCCUAUUUUCACACUA